rnacentral:pre_miRNA from 11 species
GACCGCACAGGAUAAACGAUAAUCCCGUGCGGUCGGGUUAAGUGGACUGCACGGGAAUAUGUAUUUUUCCGUGCGGUU